GGAAGUAAAAAGUCGUAACAAGGUUUUCGUAGGUGAACCUGUGAAAGGAUCAUUAUUGUACAAAAUGUGAGGGGCAUGCAAGGGCUGUUGCUGCCCCAAAAAAGUCGUGCACGCCUGAGUGUGUCCUCUUGCAUAAUAAUCCAUCUCACCCUUGUGCGUCACUGCAUGGGCACCCUUUGAGAUCAUCUCGGAGGGGGGCUUGUGUUUUCACACAAAACCCCCUUUAAAAUUUUAGAAUGAUCACAUUUAUGCAAUCAAUACAACUUUCAACAACGGAUCUCUUGGCUCUC
rnacentral:misc_RNA from 1 species